UUCUGCAAACUCAUCUACUAAAGGUCCUAUACCUGUAUUUAUUAUAGUUACUGCAUUCAUUAGCUACAUAUCUUGAAUAAAAUGUAACAAUCCAUUUUUCUUAGGCACCAUAAACCAAUGACUAGAAUAUGGAGCAAAAGAAGGCUCCAAAAUUUUCAUUCACAUCUUUUCUUUCAAUAAUUCUACCAAUUUAGGCAAAUAUGC
rnacentral:lncRNA from 1 species